GUUAUAUGGUCAAGUGAAGAAGCGCAUACGGUGGAUGCCUUGGCAGUCAGAGGCGAUGAAAGACGUGGUAGCCUGCGAAAAGCUUCGGGGAGUCGGCAAACAGACUUUGAUCCGGAGAUGUCUGAAUGGGGGAACCCAGCCAUCAUAAGAUGGUUAUCUUGUACUGAAUACAUAGGUGCAAGAGGCGAACCAGGGGAACUGAAACAUCUAAGUACCCUGAGGAAAAGAAAUCAACCGAGAUUCCCUUAGUAGUGGCGAGCGAACGGGGACUAGCCCUUAAGUGGCUUUGAGAUUAGCGGAACGCUCUGGAAAGUGCGGCCAUAGUGGGUGAUAGCCCUGUACGCGAAAAUCUCUUAGUCAUGAAAUCGAGUAGGACGGGGCACGAGAAACCUUGUCUGAAUAUGGGGGGACCAUCCUCCAAGGCUAAAUACUACUGACUGACCGAUAGUGAACUAGUACCGUGAGGGAAAGGCGAAAAGAACCCCGGAGAGGGGAGUGAAAUAGAUCCUGAAACCGUAUGCGUACAAGCAGUGGGAGCCCACUUUGUUGGGUGACUGCGUACCUUUUGUAUAAUGGGUCAGCGACUUAUUUUCAGUGGCGAGCUUAACCGAAUAGGGGAGGCGUAGCGAAAGCGAGUCUUAAUAGGGCGUCUAGUCGCUGGGAAUAGACCCGAAACCGGGCGAUCUAUCCAUGGGCAGGUUGAAGGUUAGGUAACACUGACUGGAGGACCGAACCGACUACCGUUGAAAAGUUAGCGGAUGACCUGUGGAUCGGAGUGAAAGGCUAAUCAAGCUCGGAGAUAGCUGGUUCUCCUCGAAAGCUAUUUAGGUAGCGCCUCAUGUAUCACUGUAGGGGGUAGAGCACUGUUUCGGCUAGGGGGUCAUCCCGACUUACCAAACCGAUGCAAACUCCGAAUACCUACAAGUGCCGAGCAUGGGAGACACACGGCGGGUGCUAACGUCCGUCGUGAAAAGGGAAACAACCCAGACCGUCAGCUAAGGUCCCAAAGUCAUGGUUAAGUGGGAAACGAUGUGGGAAGGCUUAGACAGCUAGGAGGUUGGCUUAGAAGCAGCCACCCUUUAAAGAAAGCGUAAUAGCUCACUAGUCGAGUCGGCCUGCGCGGAAGAUGUAACGGGGCUCAAACCAUGCACCGAAGCUACGGGUAUCACUUAGGUGAUGCGGUAGAGGAGCGUUCUGUAAGCCUGUGAAGGUGAGUUGAGAAGCUUGCUGGAGGUAUCAGAAGUGCGAAUGCUGACAUGAGUAACGACAAUGGGUGUGAAAAACACCCACGCCGAAAGACCAAGGUUUCCUGCGCAACGUUAAUCGACGCAGGGUUAGUCGGUCCCUAAGGCGAGGCUGAAAAGCGUAGUCGAUGGAAAACAGGUUAAUAUUCCUGUACUUCUGGUUAUUGCGAUGGAGGGACGGAGAAGGCUAGGCCAGCUUGGCGUUGGUUGUCCAAGUUUAAGGUGGUAGGCUGAGAUCUUAGGUAAAUCCGGGAUCUUAAGGCCGAGAGCUGAUGACGAGUGUUCUUUUAGAACACGAAGUGGUUGAUGCCAUGCUUCCAAGAAAAGCUUCUAAGCUUCAGGUAACCAGGAACCGUACCCCAAACCGACACAGGUGGUUGGGUAGAGAAUACCAAGGCGCUUGAGAGAACUCGGGUGAAGGAACUAGGCAAAAUGGCACCGUAACUUCGGGAGAAGGUGCGCCGGUGAGGGUGAAGGACUUGCUCCGUAAGCCCAUGCCGGUCGAAGAUACCAGGCCGCUGCGACUGUUUAUUAAAAACACAGCACUCUGCAAACACGAAAGUGGACGUAUAGGGUGUGACGCCUGCCCGGUGCCGGAAGGUUAAUUGAUGGGGUUAGCUAACGCGAAGCUCUUGAUCGAAGCCCCGGUAAACGGCGGCCGUAACUAUAACGGUCCUAAGGUAGCGAAAUUCCUUGUCGGGUAAGUUCCGACCUGCACGAAUGGCGUAACGAUGGCGGCGCUGUCUCCACCCGAGACUCAGUGAAAUUGAAAUCGCUGUGAAGAUGCAGUGUAUCCGCGGCUAGACGGAAAGACCCCGUGAACCUUUACUAUAGCUUUGCACUGGACUUUGAAUUUGCUUGUGUAGGAUAGGUGGGAGGCUUUGAAGCGUGGACGCCAGUUCGCGUGGAGCCAUCCUUGAAAUACCACCCUGGCAACUUUGAGGUUCUAACUCAGGUCCGUUAUCCGGAUCGAGGACAGUGUAUGGUGGGUAGUUUGACUGGGGCGGUCUCCUCCUAAAGAGUAACGGAGGAGUACGAAGGUGCGCUCAGACCGGUCGGAAAUCGGUCGUAGAGUAUAAAGGCAAAAGCGCGCUUGACUGCGAGACAGACACGUCGAGCAGGUACGAAAGUAGGUCUUAGUGAUCCGGUGGUUCUGUAUGGAAGGGCCAUCGCUCAACGGAUAAAAGGUACUCCGGGGAUAACAGGCUGAUACCGCCCAAGAGUUCAUAUCGACGGCGGUGUUUGGCACCUCGAUGUCGGCUCAUCACAUCCUGGGGCUGAAGCCGGUCCCAAGGGUAUGGCUGUUCGCCAUUUAAAGUGGUACGCGAGCUGGGUUUAGAACGUCGUGAGACAGUUCGGUCCCUAUCUGCCGUGGACGUUUGAGAUUUGAGAGGGGCUGCUCCUAGUACGAGAGGACCGGAGUGGACGAACCUCUGGUGUUCCGGUUGUCACGCCAGUGGCAUUGCCGGGUAGCUAUGUUCGGAAAAGAUAACCGCUGAAAGCAUCUAAGCGGGAAACUUGCCUCAAGAUGAGAUCUCACUGGAACCUUGAGUUCCCUGAAGGGCCGUCGAAGACUACGACGUUGAUAGGCAGGGUGUGUAAGCGCUGUGAGGCGUUGAGCUAACCUGUACUAAUUGCCCGUGAGGCUUGACCAUAUAACACCCAAGCA
rnacentral:rRNA from 1 species